rnacentral:rRNA from 1 species
AUGAUAGCAACAGUACAACUAGAUGCCAAAAAAAUGUCAUAUGAUGAUGAUUUUGUGAGAAGGGCCGUACUGGUUCUUAUGGGUACAGUCUUAGCACCACAAUCCACCAAGUUUUUUCCUUAUCGUUAUUACAAAAUGGUGGAGGACGUGAACGCUAUCAAGUCAUACAAUUGGAACGAUUUUACGUUGAGGGUGUGCAUGGAUGCUAUUAAAAAAUCGGUCGAAGAUCUUGAAAAAUUCAAGUGGCCUAUCGGGAACUUGGCUCUUCCUCAGAAACGGAAGGGAAAAAAAGAGAUGACUAUGACAACAUGCACGGGCGUGGCACCGGCAAUCUUGAAAAUUGCGUUAGCCAAGAGUACAGACGUGCUAAGGUUGAACACGGAAGGUGUGCUGUACAAACCCAAUAAGAGGGACAACAAUGAUGAAUUUGUUAAUGUACGUCAAGGAGUUGGGAUGGAGAAUGGCCAGUACAAGUCAUCAAAAUAUUGGCCAGAUAUUGAUUCACCUACCGACGUGGAGCUAGUAACAUCUUUCACGUGUUUCAAUGAUACAGACAUGCCCGUUGAUGACACGGGUGCUCCGACGACGACACCGGGUAAAGGUGACGCUACUGAUCCUUUCAUUAUACACGAUAAUGAAAAGUCCCCAUGUUCGUCAUCAACUGUACGUAUAGAAGAGUUUCCGUCUAUGUCCCGAACCCCGCAGAAUGCUGAUAUUUCUGAUGAGUCUAUGGGUGGUUUGUCACCAACAAAGUCUGAAGACAUGUCUGAGAGUUUCCCGGCAAAGAGCAACAUAGGUAAUGGUGAAGGCAGUCAGGACAAUGAAGGUAAACGCAAACGAAAUCCGUCGAAAUAUUGUCAAUCCCUGUACGACCUUCUCAUUACCCGCAAGAAACGUGUUAAAAAACAUAAUCAAUGCAUAUUGUAA